GACGUAGGGCGCGAGCGUUGUCCGGAUUUAUUGGGCGUAAAGAGCUCGUAGGCGGCUUGUCGCGUCGACUGUGAAAUCCCGCGGCUCAACUGCGGGUCUGCAGUCGAUACGGGCAGACUAGAGUGCGGUAGGGGAGAUUGGAAUUCCUGGUGUAGCGGUGGAAUGCGCAGAUAUCAGGAGGAACACCGAUGGCGAAGGCAGAUCUCUGGGCCGUAACUGACGCUGAGGAGCGAAAGCAUGGGGAGCGAACAGG
rnacentral:rRNA from 1 species